rnacentral:RNase_P_RNA from 1 species
UGAGUAAGCCGGAUGAACGCAGGCUGUGAGCGAAAGCUCUUGUCUGAGGAAAGUCCGGGCUCCAUAGGGCAGGAUGCCGGCUAACGGCCGGUGAGGGCGACCUUAAGGAUAGUGCCACAGAAAUAAACCGCCCGGGGCAAAGACUUGUCUUUGUUUCGGGUAAGGGUGCAACGGUGCGGUAAGAGCGCACCAGCGGCCGGGAGACCGGCCGGCUAGGUAAACCCCAUCCGGAGCAAAACCGUACAGAGGAGCUGGAAAGCGGCCCGCUUAGUUCCUCGCAGAGGUUGCUUGAGCCCAUUGGCAACAAUGUGGCCAGAUAGAUGUUCAUCUAAGACAGAACCCGGCUUACAGACUUGCUCGGCUU